GACGAACGCUGGCGGCGUGCCUAAUACAUGCAGGUAGAACGCACAGUUUAUACCGUAGCUUGCUACACCAUAGACUGUGAGUUGCGAACGGGUGAGUAACGCGUAGGUAACCUGCCUGGUAGCGGGGGAUAACUAUUGGAAACGAUAGCUAAUACCGCAUAAUAUUAAUUAUUGCAUGAUAAUUAAUUGAAAGGUGCAAUUGCACCACUACCAGAUGGACCUGCGUUGUAUUAGCUAGUAGGUGAGGUAACGGCUCACCUAGGCGACGAUGCAUAGCCGACCUGAGAGGGUGAUCGGCCACACUGGGACUGAGACACGGCCCAGACUCCUACGGGAGGCAGCAGUAGGGAAUCUUCGGCAAUGGACGAAAGUCUGACCGAGCAACGCCGCGUGAGUGAAGAAGGUUUUCGGAUCGUAAAGCUCUGUUGUAAGAGAAGAACGGGUGUGAGAGUGGAAAGUUCACACUGUGACGGUAUCUUACCAGAAAGGGACGGCUAACUACGU
rnacentral:rRNA from 1 species